CUGGAUUUGCUAUCAACAUUCAUUUUUAACCCAGCUGUCUGCAGAGGAAUGAUCUGCAGAACUUGUCUCCCUCUGCCCCUCCAUCAGCUCCAUCAGCUCCAUCGCUGGUUUUUGCAUGUGCAUCUCCACAGUGCUGCGAGCAGCAGGUACCCACAAUGCAAAGCCAUGCUAGCUGCUCCAUAGCAGAGCAGCCCGACUGCAAAAAAACAACAACAGGCUACUCUGCGAGGAAGGCAGCUGCAUGGAGAGCGACAACAACGACGACCAGGAUUCCCCCGCAUGCAAUCAUAUUCCCGCAAAGCAAAAAAUGCAUCGUAGCCUUAUAAUGUGAGUACUGUGCAGUACUUUACCAGCUGCAGUCAGAGUAAUCCGCUCCUUUAAAGGGGAAACUGUUUGCAGGCUAGCUGGCUAGCUCGCCAGCUAUCUGCGUCUCUAUGUGCGAGUGUCUUCCGGCAGCAGCGGCGGCGGCAGCAGCGGUGCCAUGAACAGUGGACUCCCAGCUUCAGCUGCUCCGCUCGGGGGUGCCGGGAUACCCAAUGUCAAGGUGAAAUUUUGCCGAUACUACGCGAAAGACAAAACCUGCUUUUAUGGAGACGAGUGUCAGUUCCUGCACGAGGAUCCGUCCAUGGCAAGCCUGUCGCUGCACGGUGGUGGUGGAGGAGGCGGCGGAGGCGGCGGCGGUGGAGGUGGAGGUGGUGGUAGCCCCGUCCCGUUGUCCAUGGCCGCGGGUGGCGGGACGCCAGCGGGGUAUUCCCUCGGUGGCUCCGCGGCGGCCUGCCCGGGAGCUGGCGGGGGGACCGGUGUGUCCAAGAAGAGCGAAACAUUGGGGCCUACAGGCACGUCUCUGGAGGGACAGCUGUUAACCAUCCCAGGGAUGGAGGGAGCAGCCCUGAGCGAUGCCAAUCUUACCAACUCUUACUUCAGCAGCAGCUUUAUUGGGGUCAAUGGGUUUGGGAGCCCGGCGGAGUCGAAAUACUCAAUGAUGCAGCGAAUGACUACCAGCAACAGCUCUCCCAGUCUCCUCAACGACGGUGCCAAGAACUUCAGCCACAGCACUCAUGAUCCAUUGAACUCCCCAACAUCCUCACUGUUCAGUGAUUUUGGUGCUCUUAGCAUUUCCCAAAGGAGAAAGGCUCCUAACCCGGCAGCAAGUGAGUUCAUCCCCAAGGGAGCUCCACGUAUGACCACCAUGGCUCAGUCUACUGUCCAGGCCUUCCCCUCGCCUCUCUUCCCACAUCCUGGCCUCAGCAGCUCCACAGCUGCUGCGCUAGCUCCAGGCAUGUCUCUGUCUGCGGGAUCCUCUCCUCUCCACUCCCCAAAAAUUACACCGCACACCUCACCUGCUCCUCGUCGACGCAGUCACACCCCAAACCCUGCCAACUACAUGGUGCCCACCACUGCAUCUGACCAGGGCGCUCACAUAAUCCAGAAAGAGACAGUAGGGGGGACCACCUACUUCUACACAGACAACACCCCGGCACCAAUGGCUGGAAUGGUGUUUCCUACCUACCAUAUCUAUCCCCCCACUGCGCCCCAUGUGGCUUACAUGCAGCCGAAGGCUAACGCCCCGUCCUUCUUCAUGGCUGAUGAACUCCGACAGGAGUUGAUUAACAGACAUCUGAUAACCAUGGCCCAGAUUGACCACUCAGAGAACCCAGAUGUACCGUCUGAGGUGGACAGCUACCACAGCCUGUUUCCCCUCGAGCCCCUCCCUCCACCAAACCGCAUGCAGAAGACCAGCAACUUCAGCUAUAUCACCUCCUGCUACAAGGCAGUCAACAGCAAGGAUGAUCUGCCCUACUGCCUGAGGAGGAUACACGGUUUCCGCCUUGUUAACACCAAGUGCAUGAUGCUGGUGGACAUGUGGAAGAAGAUUCAGCAUUCAAACUCUGUAACACUGAGGGAGGUCUUCACCACAAAGGCCUUUGGAGACCACUCGUUGGUGUUCUCCUAUGACUUCCAUGCGGGUGCUGAAACCAUGUUCAGCAGACACUUCAAUGACCCAGCAGCAGACUCGUACUUCACCAAGAGGAAGUGGGGACAACAUGAACCUCCCCCGCCACGGCAGCACGCAGGUCUGCUCCCCGAGUCUCUGAUCUGGGCCUACAUCGUCCAGCUCAGUUCGGCCCUGCGCACCAUCCACACUGCCGGCCUGGCCUGCCGUGUCAUGGACCCCAGCAAGAUUCUUAUUACUGGCAAGACCAGGUUACGGGUGAACUGUGUUGGGGUGUUUGAUGUCUUAACUUUUGAUAACAGUCAGACCAAUCAUCUUGCCCUAAUGCCACAGUACCAGCAAGCAGACCUAGUGUCGCUGGGCAAGGUGGUGCUGGCAUUGGCGUGUAACUCCCUGGCUGGCAUUCAAAGGGAGAACCUGCAGAAGGCCAUGGAGCUGGUGUCCAUCAACUACUCUUCAGACCUCAAGAACCUCAUUCUGUAUCUGCUGACUGAACAGUCUCGCCUGCGCAGCGUCAAUGACAUUAUGCCAAUGAUCGGAGCUCGAUUCUACACGCAACUGGAUGCAUCGCAGAUGAGGAAUGAUGUCAUUGAGGAGGACCUGGCCAAGUGCAGAAAACGUUUGACAGGGUGAGACAGGCAGAGAGGAGGAAGAGAAAGGAGAGGCAGGAGUGAAUUAUAUCUGCAGAGGUGAAAGGAGGUGCAAAACGGCCGUCUUUUCCGCCUGUUGGCCAAACUGGGCACCAUCAACGAGCGGCCAGAGUUCCAGAAGGACCCGAC